rnacentral:rRNA from 1 species
AUACGGAGGAUGAGAGCGUUAUCCGGAUUUAUUGGGUUUAAAGGGUGCGUAGGCUGUGCGUUAAGUCAGGGGUGAAAUGCCGUCGCUCAACGACGGAGCUGCCCUUGAUACUGGCGUGCUGGCGUACGGAUGCCGUUGGAGGAAUGAGUGGUGUAGCGGUGAAAUGCUUAGAUAUCACUCAGAACACCGAUUGCGAAGGCAUCUGACGAAUCCGUCACUGACGCUGAGGCACGAAAGCGUGGGGAUAGAACAGGAUUAGAUACCCGGGUAUUCCACGCCGUAAACGAUGAUGACUAACCGUCGGCGAUAGACAGCCGGUGGCCAAGCGAAAGCGAUAAGUCAUCCACCUGGGGAGUACGUCGGCAACGAUGAAACUCAAAGGAAUUGACGGGG